CAGCGCCACGAGUGGUAAUCGCUAUUAUUGGGCCUAAAGCGUCCGUAGCAGGUUUUGUAAAUCUUAUGUGAAAUUGUUGCGCUCAACGUAACAGCGUGCAUGAGACACUGCAAGACUAGGGACCGGGAGGAGUCAAAGGUAUUUCUUGGGGAGCGGUAAAAUGCUAUAAUCCAAGAAGGACCACCUAUGGCGAAGGCAUUUGACUAGAACGGAUCCGACUGUGAGGGACGAAAGCCAGGGGAGCGAUCCGGAUUAGAUACCCGAGUAGUCC
rnacentral:rRNA from 1 species